ACAUGAGUUGUGUAAUUGCUGUAAAUAUGGACGUAAAGCAACGUGCAGACUUUAGGUGGGCAUGCAAGAAGUUAUGGGAUGUCCAUAAAGAAAUCUGCAAAUAUCG